rnacentral:rRNA from 1 species
GACGAACGCUGGCGGCAUGCCUAACACAUGCAAGUCGAACGAGACCUUCGGGUCUAGUGGCGCACGGGUGCGUAACGCGUGGGAACCUGCCCUUAGGUUCGGAAUAACUCCCCGAAAGGGGUGCUAAUACCGGAUAAUGUCUUCGGACCAAAGAUUUAUCGCCUUUGGAUGGGCCCGCGUUGGAUUAGCUAGUUGGUAGGGUAAAAGCCUACCAAGGCGACGAUCCAUAGCUGGUCUGAGAGGAUGAUCAGCCACACUGGGACUGAGACACGGCCCAGACUCCUACGGGAGGCAGGAGUGGGGAAUAGUGGACAAUGGGCGAAAUCCUGAUCCAGCAAGGCCGCGUGAGUGAUGAAGGCCUUAGGGUUGUAAAGCUCUUUUACCCGGGAUGAUAAUGACAGUACCGGGAGAAUAAGCUCCGGCUAACUCCGUG